GACGAACGCUGGCGGCGUGCUUAACACAUGCAAGUCGAACGAAGAGCGAUGGAAGCUUGCUUCUAUCAAUCUUAGUGGCGAACGGGUGAGUAACGCGUAAUCAACCUGCCCUUCAGAGGGGGACAACAGUUGGAAACGACUGCUAAUACCGCAUACGAUCUAACCUCGGCAUCGAGGAUAGAUGAAAGGUGGCCUCUACAUGUAAGCUAUCACUGAAGGAGGGGAUUGCGUCUGAUUAGCUAGUUGGAGGGGUAACGGCCCACCAAGGCGAUGAUCAGUAGCCGGGCUGAGAGGAUGAACGGCCACAUUGGGACUGAGACACGGCCCAGACUCCUACGGGAGGCAGCAGUGGGGAAUCUUCCGCAAUGGACGAAAGUCUGACGGAGCAACGCCGCGUGAGUGAUGACGGCCUUCGGGUUGUAAAGCUCUGUUAAUCGGGACGAAAGGCCUUCUUGCGAAUAGUGAGAAGGAUUGACGGUACCGGAAGAGAAAGCCACGGCUAACUACGUG
rnacentral:rRNA from 1 species